AUUGAACGCUGGCGGCAUGCCUUACACAUGCAAGUCGAACGGCAGCACGGGAGCUUGCUCCUGGUGGCGCGUGGCGAACGGGUGAGUAAUACAUCGGAACGUACCCAGGAGUGGGGGAUAACGUAGCGAAAGUUACGCUAAUACCGCAUAUUCUGUGAGCAGGAAAGCGGGGGAUCGCAAGACCUCGCGCUCUUGGAGCGGCCGAUGUCGGAUGAGCUAGUUGGUAAGGUAAAAGCUCACCAAGGGGACGAUCCGUAGCAGGUCUGAGAGGAUGAUCUGCCACACUGGGACUGAGACACGGCCCAGACUCCUACGGGAGGCAGCAGUGGGGAAUUUUGGACAAUGGGGGCAACCCUGAUCCAGCCAUGCCGCGUGAGUGAAGAAGGCCUUCGGGUUGUAAAGCUCUUUCGGCGGGGAAGAAAUGGCAACGGCUAAUAUCCGUUGUUGAUGACGGUACCCGCAUAAGAAGCACCGGCUAACUACGUGCCAGCAGCCGCCGUAAAAC
rnacentral:rRNA from 1 species